AGUGAACGCUGGCGGUAGGCCUAACACAUGCAAGUCGAACGGCAGCACAGUAAGAGCUUGCUCUUACGGGUGGCGAGUGGCGGACGGGUGAGGAAUACAUCGGAAUCUACUUUUUCGUGGGGGAUAACGUAGGGAAACUUACGCUAAUACCGCAUACGACCUACGGGGGAAAGUAGGGGAUCUUCGGACCUUGCGCGAUUGAAUGAGCCGAUGUCGGAUUGGCUAGUUGGCGGGGUAAAGGCCCACCAAGUCGACGAUCCGUAGCUGGUCUGAGAGGAUGAUCAGCCACACUGGAACUGAGACACGGUCCAGACUCCUACGGGAGGCAGCAGUGGGGAAUAUUGGACAAUGGGCGCAAGCCUGAUCCAGCCAUACCGCGUGGGUGAAGAAGGCCUUCGGGUUGUAAAGCCCUUUUGUUGGGAAAGAAAAGCAGCAGGUUAAUACCCCGCUGUUCUGACGGUACCCAAAGAAUAAGCACCGGCUAACUUCGUG
rnacentral:rRNA from 1 species